UUAACAGGGCGUUAAGUUGGUGGCGCUAGACGCGAAACCUUGUGAUCUACCCACGAGCAGGUUGAAGUCGCGGUAACACGUGAUGGAGGACCGAACCGGUAAACGUUGAAAAGUUUUCGGAUGACUCGCGGGUAGGGGUGAAAGGCCAAUCAAACUGGGAAAUAGCUCGUACUCUCCGAAAUGCAUUUCGGUGCAGCCUGUGAUGUUCUGUUCCAGAGGUAGAGCUACUGGUUGGACGCGAGGGCUUCACCGCCUAUCAAAUCCGGAUAAACUCCGAAUGCUGGAACACGAAAUCAUGGAGUGAGCCCGCGGGUGCUAAGGUCCGCGGACGAGAGGGAAAGAACCCGGACCACCGGCUAAGGUCCCGGAUGGACAGUUAAGUUGAUCAAACGAGGUGGGAUCGCGGAGACAGCUAGGAUGUUGGCUUGGAAGCAGCCAUUCAUUUAAAGAGUGCGUAACAGCUCACUAGUCGAGCGAUCCCGCGUGGAUAAUACACGGGCAUCAAACUGUCAACCGAAGCCGUGGGGUUAGUGAUGAGCUAACCGGUAGGAGAGCAUUCCUGCCAGCUUUGAAGGUCACCCGCGAGAGUGACUGGAGCGGCAUGAAAAGCAAAUGUAGGCAUAAGUAACGAUAAUGGGGGCGAGAACCCCCCACGCCGCAAGACCAAGGAUUCCCCGGCAAUGUCAAUCAGCCGGGGGUCAGCCGGCCUCUAAGGCUCACCCGAAAGGGGAUGCCGACGAGAAACGGGUUAACAUUCCCGUGCUUCUCGUCACCGUGACGCGGUGACGGGGUGAUGAAUGGACCGCGCGCAGACGGAAUAGCGCGUUGAAGGCCGUACCCUUCGAGGGUGGUAGUCAAGCACGCCACCCGAGGCGAUAGCCGAUAGUACCACGAGACUCCGGUCGAGUGGAUAGCGUCCAGGCAAUUUACCCCCGAGAAAACCCGCUAAACUUCAAGUGACGAGGAACCGUACUGUAAACGGACACACGUGGUCGGGUAGAACAUACCAAGGCGCUGAGUGAUUCAUGGUCAAGGAACUAGGCAAAAUAGUCCUGUAACUUCGGGAAAAAGGACGCUCUAGUGAUAGAGCCGCAGAGUAAUGGCCCAGGCGACUGUUUACCAAAAACACAUGGCUAUGCCAAAUCGAAAGAUGACGUAUAUGGCCUGACACCUGCCCGGUGCCGGAAGGUUAAGAGGAGAGCUCAUCGGAAACGAGAAGGUUUGAAUUGAAGCCCCGGUAAACGGCGGCCGUAACUAUAACGGUCCUAAGGUAGCGAAAUUCCUUGUCGGGUAAGUUCCGACCUGCACGAAUGGUGUAACGAUCUGGACACUGUCUCAACCGUGAGCUCGGUGAAAUUGUAGUCCCGGUGAAGAUGCCGGGUACCCGCGACGGGACGGAAAGACCCCGUGAACCUUUACUGCAGCUUCGCGUUGU
rnacentral:rRNA from 1 species